ensembl:snRNA U2 U2 spliceosomal RNA
AAGGCCUCGUCUCCUUUCUGGUGAAGAUGAAGUGUAGUUUCUGUUUCUGUCAGGUAAAUAUCUGAUCAUCUCCUCUCCAGGGGGUCAGCAACUAGAUAUAUUUUUUGAUUUGGGAGUUGGGAUAGGGUCUUUCUCAAUCCACUACAUGCAUCUACCUGGCAUGACAACACCUUCAGGAUUAAAAAGAGAGAAA